CAGGCUGGAGAUUAUUGGGCCUAAGCAUCCGUAGCCGGUUCUGUAAGUUUCCGGUUAAAUCCACUAGCUCAACUAAUGGGCUGCCGGAAAUACUGCAGAACUAGGGAGUGGGAGAGGCAGACGGUACUCGGGAGGAAGGGGUAAAAUCCUUUGAUCUCUUGAUGACCACCUGUGGCGAAGGCGGUCUACCAGAACACGUUCGACGGUGAGGGAUGAAAGCUGGGGGAGCAAACCGGAUUAGAUACCCGGGUAGUCCCAGCUGUAAACGAUGCAGACUCGGUGAUGCACUGGCUUUUGGCCAGUGCAGUGCCGCAGGGAAGCCGUUAAGUUUGCCGCCUGGGAAGUACGUACGCAAGUAUGAAACUUAAAGGAAUUGGCGGGGGAGCAC
rnacentral:rRNA from 1 species